rnacentral:lncRNA from 1 species
CUCUUAAAUAAAUCUCAUAGAUUUUGAAAUCCAAGAGAGAUAACCUAACCAGUCUCAAAACUCUAAGUUGAAACUUUAGAAUGGCAAAUAGGAAAUAAAUUCACAGGGAAAGAAGUCCAAGUGAGUUCAUAGAUAGAUAGAUAGGCAACAUGAAGAUAAAAUCCUAAUCCUCUUACAGGGGCCGACCUGGUUCUGCGCAGUUGAUACCUCAGUCGGCCAGUGGUUCUCUAGGCGAUAUCAGCUCCACCUCCUGCAAGUUUUUACAACGAUUAUGAAAAUGCAAAGUGGAGUUUCUCAAAAAUACACUAAGAAUGAAUGAAGGAAUGUUGUGUAUAUGUGUUUGUAAGCCUCUAGUGGUUGAAUAGCAAAUGACAACUACUCAACAAGGCAGAGGAGGCAAAUAUUUCGUCUCCAAAAUCUAAUUGGAAUGCUAAAAUUUUAGGAAUAAUUAUAUUCACGGAAACUUCCAACACGCCACUUUACUUAUAAAACGAACUUCUAGCACAUCACACACUGAUAAGAUACAAAGCCUCUCUAAUCUUUUCUAAACAAAAUCUAAAUCAACUAAAAUCUGGAAAACUCAAUCAUAUUCUGUUUUAACAAAAUGCACUUACGUUGCAUGCAAAUGAAAACUUGAAUUGCAAGAUUUUUUAAUGAUUUGAUAACUUAUUAGAAAAGAAGUUAUUUUACAGGUCGUACCUGGAAAACCAUAUUGUAAAUUGAGU